UCCACCAGCGCCAAGGGGACCCGUAGAUCUUCUGCGCCCAAGGCCCGAAAGGAGCCCUAACUGGCACUGCAAGUGAAAAUGUUUGUCCCGCAUAUUUGGUUACAUAAUUCACGUCUACAGGAACUUUGCAGGUUGCGCUGGACGUGCAUGAUCAUUGUACACUUUUAGUACUUUUGGGAACACAACAUUUUAAUGAAUACAUUUUGGAAUGUCAUCCUGGAAGAGACAGCAAUACACACACAAAAAGGAAAAUGGUGCCAAGUUCCAAACUGUGAGCGUUGAUAUAAGUCCCCGAAAUAUGCAGAUAAUUAUGUGCAGUGACUGAAUCAAUAACGGGAAAAAAAAAGAAGGAAAUCUGGUAACUUUGGAUUAUAACCUACAUUCUUUCUGGGAUUCAGAACGCCGGAAAUACUUCUUUUUAAACCCAAUUUCUUAUAAUCCCUACUUGAAAUGUAAACUUUCAUCACAUAAAUAAAUAAUGAUUGUAAAUUCAA